UGUGUGUGUGUGGUGUGUGUGUGUAUAUAUAUUUAUAAAUAUAUAUACACACACACACACAUACAUACACACC
rnacentral:miRNA from 1 species